rnacentral:rRNA from 1 species
UGAGGAAUAUUGGUCAAUGGGCGUAAGCCUGAACCAGCCAAGUCGCGUGAAGGAUGAAGGUUCUAUGGAUUGUAAACUUCUUUUAUGGGGGAAUAAAGUGCGGGAUGUAUCCUGUUUUGUAUGUACCUCAUGAAUAAGCAUCGGCUAACUCCGUGCCAGCAGCCGCGGUAAUACGGAGGAUGCGAGCGUUAUCCGGAUUCAUUGGGUUUAAAGGGUGCGUAGGUGGCCUUUUAAGUCAGCGGUGAAAGUUUGUGGCUCAACCAUAAAAUUGCCGUUGAAACUGGAGGGCUUGAGUAUGUUUGGGGCAGGCGGAAUGUGUGGUGUAGCGGUGAAAUGCAUAGAUAUGACGCAGAACUCCGAUUGCGAAGGCAGCUUUCCAGCACGCCACUGACGCUGAGGCACGAAAGCGUGGGGAUCGAACAGGAUUAGAUACCCUGGUAGU